AUUGAACGCUGGCGGCAGGCUUAACACAUGCAAGUCGAGCGGAGCGAGGGUGCUUGCACCUUAGCUUAGCGGCGGACGGGUGAGUAAUGCUUAGGAAUCUGCCUAUUAGUGGGGGACAACAUUCCGAAAGGAAUGCUAAUACCGCAUACGCCCUACGGGGGAAAGCAGGGGAUCUUCGGACCUUGCGCUAAUAGAUGAGCCUAAGUCGGGUUAGCUAGUUGGUGGGGUAAAGGCCUACCAAGGCGACGAUCUGUAGCGGGUCUGAGAGGAUGAUCCGCCACACUGGGACUGAGGCACGGCGCAGACUCCUACGGGAGGCAGCAGUGGGGAAUAUUGGACAAUGGGCGGAAGCCUGAUCCAGCCAUGCCGCGUGUGUGAAGAAGGCCUUUUGGUUGUAAAGCACUUUAAGCGAGGAGGAGGCUACUUAGAUUAAUACUCUGGGAUAGUGGACGUUACUCGCAGAAUAAGCACCGGCUAACUCUGUGCCAGCCGCCGCGGUAA
rnacentral:rRNA from 1 species